GUCGACGCUGUGGGUGUAACUUCUUUUAUAAGGAAUAAAGUCGGGUAUGUAUACCCGUUUGCAUGUACUUUAUGAAUAAGGAUCGGCUAACUCCGUGCCAGCAGCCGCGGUAAUACGGAGGAUCCGAGCGUUAUCCGGAUUUAUUGGGUUUAAAGGGAGCGUAGAUGGAUGUUUAAGUCAGUUGUGAAAGUUUGCGGGCA
rnacentral:rRNA from 1 species